UACAGAGGUCUCAAGCGUUGUUCGGAUUCAUUGGGCGUAAAGGGUGUGUAGGUGGCGCCGUAAGUCGGGUGUGAAAUUUCGGAGCUUAACUCCGAACCUGCAUUCGAUACUGCGGUGCUUGAGGACUGGAGAGGAGACUGGAAUUCAUGGUGUAGCAGUGAAAUGCGUAGAGAUCAUGAGGAAGACCAGUGGCGAAGGCGGGUCUCUGG
rnacentral:rRNA from 1 species